rnacentral:lncRNA from 1 species
GAAGGCUACGUUAUUAUUUCCAAAGUAAAACAUAAGACAGAAGCUUUGAGAUGAAAACUGCAAAUUUGUUGCUGGGCAAGUAAAUCUACAGCAGGUCAGGUACUUCUAUACCGUGUGACAAACUGUUGGAUGGAUGCCCAAAGCAGCUCUGGAAAGCUAGUAUGUCUAAACUGUCAGUUCAGAAAACAAAUGUAUUACAGCCUGGAGCAAACUUCACAUUUUCUGAGGCAAAGGGAGAAGAGGCAUGUACCAGCUGCUGAGCAAAAGAAGGUGAUG